rnacentral:misc_RNA from 1 species
GGGUAGUUAUUAAUUAUAGGUGUAUGAACACUCUAAUACCCUUUCUUCUGUUGUUAAUAUUAUCAUUGGGGUUCUGCAUUAUAUGCAUUUGUCACUGGGAGACUGUUACGCACCCAAACAUGAAUCCUGGAACACAUUCCAACCCCUUGACACUAAUUAAUCAAAAAAAAAAAAUUGAUCAAUGUUAACCAUAUAAUAAUCAUGACCCCCGAUUAUGCCCAAUAAUGCCCCAACGGAGAACCACUCCUUUGACGCCAAUGCCAUAUCAACGAUCAAUCAAAUAAGCGCGAUCCUCAUCGACACAAAAAUCUUCCUCUACCUGGCCAACGGAAUCAUCCUUCUGCUGGGCAUUGGCCUCCUGGUCUACGGCAUCUACGGCUGUCGCCUACCGGGACCGCAGCUCUACAGCUGCCAGACCUCCGUACCCAUGGGCGUCCUCACUUGCCUCCUCACGUUUCUCUGGUUUCUGGCCUACAGACUCAAUCAGUUGCCAUUGCAUUUCAUUUAUUUGAUCCUGCUUAUCUGUGUGAUCGCAAGCCAGUUGGUAUUCGCUUUUCGGACCUUAGUGGUGGGCAAUGAGGCGGUGAUCAAAAGCCACUUGAGGAACUUGUACAAAUUAAGAAAGGACACGGGGGAGGUCCAUAAGGAGGUCGAGGAGUUUCAAACGAGGUUGAACUGUUGUGGCUUCGAUGGCCCUCAUGGUAUACUCUAUCGUGGCCAUUCAAGCAAAUGUUUUCCUGUCAAUCGGCAAAGAAGCUCAAGGGAAACACAAUGUCACUAUAUUAAUUUCCGAGUGUUGUCCGAACCAUGUGACUGUUUGCACCAUUUUGGAUGCCUAUCGAGAGGGAUGUGCCCAAAAGAUGAUCAAGGAACAUCGGGAGUGGGAGAGUACUUUCGGGGUCAUUUUAUUUAUUACUGCCCUAGUGUUGAUUGUUUUUGCUUUUGUGGAUGUUGCACAGUUUCAGCCCAUUUAUACUUGAAGAAAACUAAUAAAAAUUUGAUUAUUAAAAUAUUCUGUAUGCCAGGUAGCAAGUGUUUAAAUGGGGGUCUUCAAGGUCAUGUGAAAAUAACCCUUGAUAACAGGUAAACUGAGGGUGCCUAAUACCCUUACUCAGGUCAAAACACCCUUGUUAGGCCUGGUUGCCAAACUUUGCGAAAGAAAACGUGAUUAUUAUUAUAAUUGAAUCUUAUAGGGUGACACCUCAUAAAAACCGGAACAGAUUUAUAUGUAUAAAUAAUAUUCGCGUAAUACAACUGGUUUCCGAUUAAACGUUAUCUAGGCAUACACUUUCGGUACCAACCAAUGGGUACCACCGCGAGUCAGUCAGUGUCGACUUAUUACAGUAGAUUUCUCUUUUAGUUUGCUAACGUUAACCGCUGAGCGAGGACGAUACUUAAUCGUUUUAUUGGCGCGAAUGGUUUUAUUUUAGUGCGUACAUUUUUAUUAUUUAUAUUUUGGAUUUGUUAUAUUUAAUGGGUACCCAGGAGGAUUAUGUCAGAAGUUUUUACGAAGGACUCGAUAGGGAAAAGUCCAGUAACGAGUCCCUGGCACGAGCUUUAGAAAACGAAUCCCAGGACGUCACCAAAGUGAUAAUAUUCGUCACGUCGGCCGUACUAGUCAUUAUCUUAAUAUUCGUCAUGGCGAUCUUCAUUGACUGCAGACAACAGAAGCUGGAGAGUAUGAUGACGAAAGCGGCGCGAAAACAAAAGAAACCCGUCAGGCGGAAGUUCCCUGCACUUCCGGCUAUAACGGAAGGCGCCCUUAGGGACGACCGGACUGUUAUAAUUGAACAUAUGGAGGAGGAGCCCGUGCCCACCUCGUCAUCAUCACAUAAUAUAGUGUAAAUUAAAUUAAGAAACAAUUAAUAAAUAUAUAUAUGUUUUUUUUUUAA